rnacentral:rRNA from 1 species
UACGUAGGGGGCAAGCGUUGUCCGGAUUUAUUGGGCGUAAAGCGCUCGCAGGUGGUUCGAUGCGUCGUGCGUGAAAGACCCCGGCUCAACUGGGGAGGGUCGUGCGAUACGGUCGAACUGGAGGCCAGUAGGGGGAUGCGGAAUUCCGGGUGUAGUGGUGGAAUGCGUAGAGAUCCGGAGGAACACCAGCGGCGAAGGCGGCAUCCUGGACUGGUCCUGACACUCAUGAGCGAAAGCGUGGGGAGCGAGUCCGG